CACAGUUAACGGCAGACUUAACAGUUUGACUAACGGAUGUAUGAGACUGUCCCAAAAUUUACACUUUAGGUAUGACUCUGGGACGAAAAAAAAUUGAUGUACUAAAUGUUGAAAACCACGAAACAUGAGAGUAGUAAACAGUCUUUUGCCCUUUUUUUUUUUAACAAACAAUAUUAUCUACACUAAGGGGGAGGGGUGGGCUUAGCCUCACAAUGAGUUAACAAUAAUGUGAUUUAAUCAGUUGUUUAUUAAAUAUUAUUUUCUCUAUUUUAAACACGUUCAAAUCAUCUUAAGAGGUGUGUAAUGCCGGUUAUAAAAAAGUCUUUCGCAUGCGGAUAAUAAUGUGAUUAAAUUAGUUGUCAAAUUACUUCUUUUUUUAAGAAACAAUAUUAUCAAGGGAACUUUAACAAAAAGCUCCUGAUAUUGUUCACUUUAAUGAAAAACCACAUUUUUACACUAAAAAGUCAAUCCUGGUACUAUUCAUUUUACCCUUUAUUUUGUCAUUAUCAUUAAAACUCAAAGUUUUCAAGUCAUUUUCAUUAGUUUUCCUUAUUAUCUACACUAAGGGGGAGAAGGUGGGUUUAGCCUCACAAUGGGCUAGCAAUAAUGUGAUUCAAUCAGUUGUUUAUUAAAUAUUAUUUUCUCUAUCUUUCAAAACAUCUUAAGAGGCGUGUAAUGCUGGUUAUAAAAAAAGUCUUUCGCAAAUAAUGUGAUUAAAUUACAUUAAAUUAGUUGUCAAAGGUUUUUUUUUAACAAACAAUAUUAUCUACACUAAGAGGGAGGGGGUGGGUUUAGCUUCACAAUGGGCUAGCAAUAAUGUGAUUCAAUCAGUUGUUUAUUAAAUAUUAUUUUUUCUAUUUUUAAACACGUUCAAAACAUCUUAAGAGACGUGUAAUGCCGGUUAUAAAAAUGUAUUUCGCACGCAGAUAAUAAUGUGAUUAAAUUAGUUGUCAAAUGACUGUUUUUUUUUAACAAACGAUAUUAUCUACACUAAGGGGGAGGGGUGGGCUUAGCCUCACAAUGGGCUAGCAAUAAUGAGAUUCAAUCAAUUGUUUAUUAAAUAUUAUUUUCUCUAUUCUUAAUGUAAAUUCUAAAUAAACCGAUUUUAUUAUGUGAAUUCAGCUGCUUUAAUUGGUUUAUGAGUGGUUUCUUCUAGUAUGAUCUAAGAUUAUUCAUUUACUUCAAAUAUUUGACUUUCCUUUUGUCAAUUUACAUAUAUAAAUACAUUUAAAACAUGUAAGUCGCGUGUAACACGCCGUGAUUCAAAAAAUAACGUGCAUGCAUGAAGGCUAGCAGAAUAAGUAAAUAAGUAGUCAAACUCAUGAAGGCUAGUAGAAUAAGUAAAUAAGUAGCCAAACUCUUGCUCAUGCAAUGCGAUAGUACACAUGUUGCCUCUCUUGUUUCUCAACAACGAAACCCAUGUAAAUAAAUUUGCUUUUGGUUAUAAAAAAAAUUUUGCUUUUAGUUAAUUGUUUGUCCUUUGGCUAAGCGUUUCUAUUCUCCUUUAAUUAAAUUCUAUGAUCAUUUGGCAAAAAAAGAAAACGAAAAAACAAAAUUUUGAUGGUUAAGAUUUUCGUUACCAUAAACGGGUAGAAGAAUCAUGCUGUGUGUUACAUGUUAAUUUGAUAAACUCAACAAGCCGUAUUUUUAUUUCAGGCAUGUUAUAUUCAUUUCCUCGAGGAUCCUUUUCCUAGGGAUCCUAUGAUCGUAACCGUUGAUCGUAUAUUGUACGGUCACAAAAUUAUUUAAAAUUUAAAAUUUAAAAUUAAAUAUAAAUAGUACUUAACGAAAAUUGACCACACGAUAUACAAUGAACGGUCACGAUCACGAAAUUCCCAAGAUCCCUAAAAAAAAAAUCCGGUGAGAAUCAUUUUCCCAUUUCCUCUGAUUUAACACUGUAUCUUUACAAGACACGGCUUAUUAUAUGAAUUGUCACCCCUAAUCAUGAGUUGUUUAAUUUCUUUUGAAGAAUGAGAGGUGGUUGGCCUUGAAAUCUGUUUUGUUUUUUCCCAUUGGAAUUUAACAUCUUCACAAAAGAAUAUUUUGCACAUGCAUGUUAAGCCCAACCGCUCAAAGAAUUUUAAAACAUUUUGGGUGGGGCUAUUAGAAAAGAAAAAAAAAAGCUAUUCAAAACUUUUUUUGAUACGCCUAUUAGUACUACGAUCUAGUGAUAUUCUUCUUUGUUUGUAAGUGAUAGGUCAUAGGUUCGAUUUUCGUCAAAGUCGAAUUUGAACUACAUUAUGACAAAUCCAUUAUAAGACUGAACUCACUCUUUCACCCUCUUAGUAUAGACAUUAUCAUAUGUUAAAAUAAUAAAGAUAAAAAGUAAGGAAUUUUCUUUGAUACACAAAAACAUUUUGGAUGAAGGAUUUGCAUGCAUUAGGAAAUUUAAAAGAAUGAAAGGAGAUAACAGUCUUCGACAGCUUCGAGGGAAUGUUUGGCCGGCCCGCAUUUGUUUUGCCGAAAAUAAUGGAGUGCAGUGGUAUGCGAGGUUUUAGGAUAUUGUGUGUAGAGAUAGAUAUAUCGAUUUUUAUUUUUUUAUUUUUUAUAUAAGGGUAAACUUGAAAAUUUAGUAGAUAGAAUUUUUUAGGGUAAAUUACAUAGAAAUCCUUAAUGGUUGAGGUCUAUUACAACCUCAUACAACAUCUUUAAAACAUUUCACUUUCAUACCUCACGUACUAUUUUAUUUCAAAACAACACAUCCGUUAGAUUUUUCAUCCAAUUGUCUGUUAAAUGCUGACGUGGCUGCCACAUUUGUGCUGAUGUGGCUGCCACAUGGCAAAAAAAAUAAUUUUGUAUACAUUAACAAUAUUAUAAUAUUAACCCUAUUUAAAAAAAAAAAAAAAAACCAGAAAACCUGAACCCAAAUCCCCUUCCCCACAUCUCACCCCCACCCCCUUACCCAUCUCUCCCACUCUUCUUCUUCCUCCACACCAACCCCAACACACUCCCUGUCACCG
rnacentral:lncRNA from 1 species